CCAAGAAAUAGACUCUUAACUGUAGAGAACAAACCAAUGGUCAACAGAGGGGAGGUGGGUGGAGAAAUGAUUGAAACAGAUGACGGGAUUAGGGCAUGAACUCAUCAUGAUGAGCACUGUGUGAUGUAUGGAAGUGCUGAAUCACUGUAUUGUACACCUGAAACUAAUAUAACACUGUAUGUUAACUAAACUGGAAUUAAAAUUUUAAAAAGAUAGAAAAAGAAAAAUGAGAACGAAUAGAAAAUCAUAAAUCAAUCCACACAAAUAUGCUCAGUUGAUUUUUUGGCAAAUGUGCACAAAUUGUCCUGGAGUAAUUCAACAUCCACUGACCAAAAACAAAAAUUAAAAGUGAACUUUGACCAAAGUCUCACAUCUUAUACAAAAAUUAACUAAUAACGAAUGGAUCAUAGAUGUAAAUACAAAAUGCAAAUUAUAAUACCUUAAAAAUAUGAGUAAUGUUUAAUUAUAUCUUAAUAAAAAUAAAUAUUCCUAAAUUGUCAUUUUUUAAUGUUUUGGGUUUUGUCCCCACAUAAAAAUAUAUAUUAAAAAAUAUAAUUUGAAAUAGGGUUUUAUUUGCAAGUAGAAUUCAAUUAUAUUUGGUUUGUACAUAAUAGUAGAACACAAUGGAGAAUGGAUUGCAUUCCCUCACUAUGCAGGUCAAGAUCUAGUUACAUAAAUGAACACACAAAAAUUUUUAUACAGAAAUCAUCUAUGCUUCGAAUAAUAUUUCAGACAAGACACAAAUAAAUUUCCUGUUGCCCUCAAGUUUACUGACUCACUGGUUUGUUUCAGGAACAGACAAAAUGAACUAAUUCCUCAAAAAGCACAAUCUACCAAAAUUCACCCAAGAUGAAAUAGAUCAUUUGAGUAGCCCUAUUACUAUUAAGGAAAUUGAAUUCAUAAGUUUAACCUUCGCAAAAGAACUCCAUACUUACUUAAACCGUCUUUACUUACUGCUUUAGUAUGUUCUUCCACCCGCUAUCCCUGUUUUACCACCAAGUUCACAUUCUUCAAAGCACAUACCAUAAUUUGUAAUCAUCCUUUUUUUAAGUUAUUAAAGUCUCCCUUCCAUAGAAGUGCAAACACCAUAAGGACAGGGACAAGAAGCUGUUUUUAAAAUUCAAAACCAUAUAAUCAGCACCUAAAACCCCUAAGACAAGGGUCAGAUGAGAAGCAGUGAAGAAGUCAGAAUUUAUAAUGCAAAUUUUUGGCUUUUCCUACCGUAAUUAGACCAUCACGAUGUCUUCUUUUUAUAAUUUAUGCUUAAUCCGUCAUUUGCUGAACUGAGUAUUGUCCAUCCUCCCACAUUUCCUUUUACUGUGAGGAGGCCAUGGAGGAGGAACAGAGGAGUCAGCCCUAAGAACGAAGCACUGGCAGUAUGCGGGAGCCCACUCCUGCCCAUUUGCAAGAGGGGAAGCUGUGCAUCUCUUCCCAACUCCGCCCUCUGUGGCAUCACAUGAGUCCUUUCUAAUGGACUAUGGUGGGAGUAUUUAUACCUCAGAAAUGAAUACACACUACAACUCAGGACUUCUUUCCCUCCUGAAGAACCAGUUGUUAAACCUUUACCAGCACACCAUGGAAACUUCUGGCCUGUAGCUAAGAAAUUAAAUGAAAUUAUUACAGAAAACAGAUACGAAGUGGAAAAAGGAAUGGGUUGGAAAAGAGUAGAGGAAAACAGUUAUUGAGCACCUCAUAUGUUUUCCAAUUUAAACCAUCCAGUAAUUCUGAAAAAUAGGUGUUAUCAUCAUCAUCAUCCCUAAACAGAGAUUGGGAAUCUAAAUCUAUAACAUGGUAGAUUAUGGAUUUAAGAUUUAAAGUCAGGUCUUUCUCUCUCCCAUGCCUUUGACCUUUCCAUAUAUUAUGCUUCCUGAAGAAUAACUCUUUGCUGCUUGUAAGUUCUUAAGGGAUACAGGUCUCUGGAUUUAUUUAUUUUUUAAUCAGAUUCAGAAAUGUUACGGGAAUCUCUUUAAUACUGACAAAUUUACACCAUUUGUGUAUGGUUUUUAUUUGUUAUUCAUUAUUAUAACUGAAAGAAAACAAAUCUCUAAAUCUAAUUUGGAAUUUCCAUUUAUUGCAGGGGGAGGGACAGAGGGAGAGGGAGAAAAAAACUUAAGCAGGCUCCACGCCCAGUAUGGAGCCUGACACAGGGCUUGGUUUCACCACCGUGAGAUCAUGACCUGACCUGAAAUCAGAAGUCGUGUGCUUAACCCACUGAGCUACCCAGGAGCCCCUCGUUUGGAAGUUUUAGAUGCCCUAAAUCUGUUUUCUUUUCUCUUUUCUUUUUUUCCCCCCUCUUCAUCAUAGUAGCACAACAGUCUAGCAGAAGAAACUUGACUUAUGGUUUGAAGAUAUAAAAGUGGUAUUGAAAAAUGGCUCAAAAGUGUCAUAAUUUAGAGAAAUGCAACCUAGACAGAAAUAAAUACUAAUAUACCAGUUAGAAGAGUAAAACCAAACCAUAGAAUCUUACCAAAAUAAAAAACUAGAUAAAGACCAAAUUGGAGUCAUUGACCACACUAAUGAGACUUGGAUAUCUCAACCAUAAAAUACAUGAUUGAAAUCAAUCAAUCAUAAAAUACAUUGAAAACUGAUAGAGUCAGAGACAAAGCCAUCUAGUAAGAACGUGUAAAAUAUCCAUAACUUGGCAGUCACAUACGAAGGAAGAUAUUUCAUGGGGUUUCGUUGACCUGCCAUCAGGUUGGAGCGUCAGGGUUUUAUUUAUGGGGCAAAAAAAGUUGAAUAUGUUUCAGACAUUGUGAUGGAUGCCAGUAGACAGCAAAAACAGAAGCCUAUUAUUUCAACCCACUUAUUUUCUUUAAAAUGUGGCGAUAUUAAACUGGAUGAAAAAAAUCAUAAUGAAAAUUCUAAAAUUCUUCUAACAUAAGACAAGUCUAAUAUGGAUAACCACCCCGAGAAAUAAUCUCAAAGAAGAAAGGCCGACCUAUCACAGAAACGAAUGGCGCUGCUUAAAUGAUAAACAAAUUUUAAAAUGUAGUCCGCAGUGAUAAGAGAGUAUAGCAGAGGAUUCACGAGCUCAAAGAAUGUUGUUAACAAUGUCAGUGGGAGCCAGGCAGCAGGGGAACAUCUGCUUAAUGGGGACUCUUAACUAAGUAAUAUAAACUAUUGAUCAGAUGGUAAACUGAUCUGAAAGAAAAUCAUUUCCGUGUAUCUUAGGUCUCGGAUAAAUUCAGUGUUGAAGACCGUCAGAGCAACUGGCAUGGCCACAGAGAGAACAGUCUGGGAAUUGAAUGUUCUUUUGCCAUGCUGUAUCCUGAGUACUUAGUUUGUACGAGGUUCUUGGCUGAGACCCCCUGUAAAAGACUAACAGGAAACAACAAAUUUAAUAGCAUAUAUACCUCCUGUAUCCAUGGGAUCCAGGAAAACACUAGUGUCUGCAUGCUGACUUCUGGAAAUCAAGACUCACCUACUGCGGGCCUCAACACAAAAUUAACACGGAGUUCAGCAAUGUAUUAAGGGAAGUUUCAGAAAAUGUCUUUUGAAUAUCAUUAUCAAAGAACGUGGGAUCCCAAAGUCACCCAGCAGGAGGCAGCAUUGUCUUUACAGCCUACAGCUGCACACAGUUCCUCUAGGAUUCUGAAGCAAGAAAGACUCUGCCCACGUUGCUUCCGCACCGCGCAGCUAAUCUUUGAGGACACAGAGUGACAUUCUACCAAUCUCAGUAACACCUGAAUUCAUAAAAACACAGAGGAACAAGGAGACAAAAUGGACCGACAGUGUCCAUUGGAAAAAAAAACCCACUUCAUUCAACAAGUGAUUUUACUGCAGUGCCCCUGUGAAUAAGAGGUUCCCAAACCCUGGAAGAAACAAUUAUCUUUGAAUUCCAUCUUGUUUAAAAUCUGAUAAGGCCAGUGCCUCUGGGAACAAAUGGCCAGUCUCUCAUACCCCACGUUCACCUCCAAUGUCAAGAGAUGCUACCAGCAAACAGAAGGGCCAGGGGACGCUGAGCCUAACACCUCAGCCUUUCCCUCUGCAAUGACACCCUUCCACCAAGCACACUCCAAAACAUCUUGGAGAGUAGCCAGUGGAAUAAAUGGAAGCAAAACAGAAAAUCUAUUUUUUGCAUCCUACUCUGUUCCUUUUCACAGAUAACUUCCUACUUUUGCCUUGGAUCCAUUUGUGCUUCCAUAUUCACAGAAAAAGAUAGUCAGUAAGUAAACCCUCCAUACUUAAAAGGCUGACACCAUUGAAUGUAAUAAUCUACGGUGAGACAAGAAUAUAAAGAAUAUAAUCCACAACUUAGUUUACUACAUGCAAGAAAUCUCAUUCCAUUUAUCUUUGCAGUAGCUAGGAGUGGCCUGAUAUUUCUGAUAGCAUAGGGCAUAUUAUAACACACAACCAUAAUAAUGGAAGGUUUCAUUGGCAACAAUAAAUUGCUAGCCCAUCCUAGAAGCAGAAGGGAGUAUAUAUUAAUAUUUCCUGAGGUUUUUUUUAUUGGUGCUAGAAGCUGAUGUUUUCAUUUAAUUUCCAUCACAACCGUUAAUACCCUCAUUUUAUAGAUGAGUAAACUGAGGCACAGAGAAAGGAAGAAACUUGGCGGAGCCCCACAGUCAGUGAGUGGUAGGGCUGGGGUUUCUGUCAAGCAGCCUGACUAAUUCUUAAUUAUGGUUGUAAAGACGCUGACUUUUGAGUCAAAAAGUAAACAGAGGUGAUAAUUGCAAGAGAACACAUCGUUUACUCAAUGCUAAAGAAAGGAUUUGGAAGGUAGGUCACUUUGGUUGCUGAGUCAAUAUCCAAGUUUCUACUGGUAAAGGUAAGGAAAGUGUCAUUUCCACAUGACUGCAUUUUAGGUUUCCAGACACGAGCAAGCUCUUUCUUUUCCUGUAUUUCUGGCUCAGCCUGAAGGAGAUACACAAACUCCAGUACAAGGAUUUUCUUUUCAGACCGUUCAAUUUUUUUUUAAAGUCGUUUCAGUUUGGAGCUAAGAAUGACUUUCGUCCAAUUUAAUCACCACAAGAUUCAUAUCCUAGCAAGAGAAGGAUGGAAAAUAAAAAUCCAUUCGAUUAUAUUGACUAUUUGGCCUAUCGUUACUAAUCCUCUUAGCGUUUGGAAGCACCGAUUUUUUUUUUCACGUUCUCUCGGGUGGUUUAAUGUUAUAUCUUACUGAUGGAAAACUAUAACUUAGAAAAGGUAAUUAUCAGAGUGUCUGGGUGUCUCGGUCAGUGAAGUGCCCAACUCUUGACUUCAGCUCAGGUCACAAUUUCACGGCUUUGUGGGUCUGAGCCCCACAUCGGGCUCUGUGCUGUCAGAAUUCCUGCUUGGGAUUCUCUCUCCUCUCUCUGCCCCUCUCCCACUUGUGCUCGCUCUCUCUCUCUCGCUCUCUCUCUCUCUCAAAAAUAAAUAAAUAAACUUAAAAAUAAAGCAACUAUUUUCCUCAGAGUCAAUUAAUGAGUGGUAAAGGUUUGGUGAGAAUCCAGUCAUCCUGGCUCCCAAGUCACUGCCCUCUGCACCACUCUGCUCCCAGGUGAUGAUGAGCCCUUUGCAAAUAUCCACAGAUGUCUUUUCGUCUCCAUUUUUCUCUGCUAGCAACAUUCUAUGAUUUUCACAAAGAAACGAAAACAUAAUGUAUCCCAACCCUCAUUUACUACAUGUGGCCAUUUGAACUUUAAAGUAGUUAUGUCAGCAAAUUGAACAUACCUUGUCGGCACCCCCAUGAAAAUGCUUCUCGAGGUGGCAAUCUAAUUCCUGUAUCACAAUAACCAGUAUAGGAAACUCAUGACUUUUUCAAAGCAAUGCCAGCAUGUGAACUUGCGUAGCCACUCCAUGGAAGAUAUCCAUGGUAGGCAAUGGUACACAGAAUGUAAUGACAGGCUAUUGUCCUGCACAUGACAUAUCAUCGCUUUACAAAAAUGGCUGUCACAGAAUCUGCCCUUCUUCCUCAAAUCAUCUAGGACCCUGCUACUCUCCCUUUAAGAGAUGAAAUGUAACUGCCCUCCUCCCCUUGAAUGUGAGCAGGCUUGUGACUUGCUCAACAACAAAAAUGUGUGACUUCUGAGGCCAGGGUGUGGGAGGCGGAUGUAGGAGCCCUGAAUUGCUGUGUCAGCGGGCUGACUUCCCUAAGGCCACCAUGCUGUAAGGAAGCUCAAUCUAGUCUACUUGGAGAGAUGCUAGGAUUAUCAUAUAAAGAGAGGGAUGCCUGGCCAGCCCUUAUUUGUCUAGCGCCAGUGAACUACCAUUGUAGGAGGUUCCUCUAACCAGAACUUCCAAGUCGGGGAGAGAGAGGACUAGCAGUGAUUCCCUGCAGAGGUCUUGGUGGCAGCAAAACCAGGAGGGUGCAGAAGCAAUAAGAAGAUUGUCUUUCUUUCCUUCUCCUGUUUCUCAUCCCUUCAAAGCUCCCAAGGUUCCUGCCUAAUUCUAAAGCUGGACUCCCAAUCUUCUACCCAUUCUCAGUCCCUUACUCCAACACACUCUUGUCUGUUUGUAAAUCCCUCUUUUGUGAGUUAGCCAGUCAGUUUCUCUUGCUUGCAACCAAAGACCUGACAUUUAAACUUAGAGAUGACAUUUAAAUUCUCCUGACAUUUAAACUUAGAGAUGCCUAUUGCUUCAUAUAAGCACAAACAUAAAUAAUCAUCCAGCUUCAUUUUUUAAGGAAAAGGAUUUUUAGGGAAUGUGAGUAGUUCCCAACAUGAUGAACCCAGACACGUUGUCUGGAGCUCUGGCAGCCACUUUGAAGCCAUGAGAUAAUCAAUAUAAGGGAAAUGCCAAAUGAUCACAUUUCUGAAAUCAUUUAGCUUCAUUGUAAGCAGUGGUCUUCCCCGGGGUUUCUUGCAGAAAAAAAAAUCUAUUUAGCCAUUGUUACUCAUCUUUUUCUGUUAAUUACAGAGGACCACAAAAUUAAUUGAUAUAUACGUAGAAACUAUCCCUGUGCAUUCCAUGUGAGGCCUGUAGGAACAAAAACAAAAGAGGAAGAAAGAAAGGCAAAAAGGAGUCAUGCUCAAAUCACUUGACCUCAGCAUUCUGGUGACAGAGGUGUCCGUUGAGGUGCCACACAGGAUAGAGAGCAGAGGAAGGUCGACUCCAGAAGUAUUUGUGAGCACUUGCUUACCCUGGCGUCCGUAUCAGCCAAGUCGUCAUUCAAGCCAAAAUCCUCAGAUCGGUCACCCUGAAAAAAAUCCCCAUUCUCUGACUGCCAGGUCAGGUUUUUGACUCAUUUUGUCCCAUCUCACCAGGAAAAGGGAAAGGUAAGUUGGAGUGGUUUAUUUACAUUUUCUUCAUUCUUUAUCUGAUGUUCAUAAACAGACAAAACUUAUCAAUUUAAAUUUUUUAAUAUUUUUUAAGUUUAUGUAUUUAUUUUGAGAGAAAGAAAGAGAGAGAGAGAGAGAGAG